UACGUAGGUGGCAAGCGUUGUCCGGAUUUACUGGGCGUAAAGGGCGUGCAGGCGGUCUGUUAAGUGCAGGGUGAAAGCUCCCGGCUCAACUGGGAGAGGUCCUUGCAUACUGGCGGACUUGAGGGGAGUAGAGGAAAGUGGAAUUCCCGGUGUAGUGGUGAUAUGCGUAGAUAUCGGGAGGAACACCUGUGGCGAAGGCGGCUUUCUGGGCCCUACCUGACGCUGAGACGCGAAAGCGUGGGGAGCGAACCGG
rnacentral:rRNA from 1 species